rnacentral:lncRNA from 1 species
UCCAAACUUAAGCCUCAACGUGUCCCCAAAACAACUGAUGCUCAUCAAGAUGAUAUCUUAGCUAUAAACCCAUAAGCCCACAGGCCUGAGGAGCACCUGCCAUGUUAGCAAAACUAACAUCUUAACUUAAAAAUCAUUUCACAGCAAAAAUUGACUCUGCCUAAGAGUAAGACCAAUUCUGCAUGGCAGGUGGAAUUGCCUAUUUGAUUGGUGUACCUGAAAGUGACAGGGAGAAUGGAACCAAGUUGGAAAACACUCUUCAGGUUAUUAUCAAGGAGAAUUUUCCUAACAUAGCAAGACAGGCCAACAUUCAAAUUCAGGAAAUACAGAGAACACCACAAAGAUACUCCUUGAGAAGAGCAACCCCAAGAUUCACUUUUUGCAAGUAAAUGAUACACAAACUUUGAUAUUUCCGAAUUAUUUUUAAAUGACUUGUUAAACACUAUGCAAGUGCUCCACUGGGAUGAAAGGGGCAGAAUUUACCCAUUGUCAGAUUAUUAUUUGUUUUCAGCAAACUCUGCUGCUACCAGAAAUCUGCAUCACGUUGUGAUCUCUGAGAGCUUGGGAACCUGAUCUCUGAGCCCAUGGUAGACUUCUGAAGAGGGGACAAAUCAUAAAGAAGAAAUGGUUAGUGGAUUUUGGCUAAUAGGCCUAUAGACAACAACAUUUUUUGUCCUACUUUGUGCUUAAGAGUGGCAUAAUUUCCAUGCCCCUAAGUAUGGCACAGAAAUCCUGCUAAAGACCUAGGCUGCGUCUUGCUCCUGUACGUGGAUGACCUUCUGCUGGGACACUCCACGGCAGUCAGGUAUGCCAAAGGGACAGAUGCCCUGCUUCAGCACCUGGAGGACUGUGGGUAUAAGGUGUCCAAGUAGAAAUCUCAGAUCUGCAGACAGCAGGUACGCUACCUGGGAUUCACUAUUCUGAAAGGGAAGUUCAGCCUGGGGUCAGAAAGAAAGCAAGUCAUCUGCAGCCUACUGGAACCUAAAACCAGAAGGCAAGUAAGGGAAUUCCUAGGACCUGUGGGGUUUUGCAGAUUAUGGAUUCCAAACUUUGAAGUACUAGCCAAACCUUUGUACACGGUUACAAAGGGGGGCAACUGGGAGCCUUUUGAAUGGGGGCCUCUACAACAGCAAGCCUUUUGUGAAUUAAAGGAAAAACUUAUGUCGGCUCUAGCCCUAGGACUACCAGAUUUGACAAAGCCCUUUACACUCUAUGUGUCA